rnacentral:rRNA from 1 species
AUGAACGCUAGCUACAGGCUUAACACAUGCAAGUCGAGGGGCAGCAUUUUAGUUUGCUUGCGAACUGAAGAUGGCGACCGGCGCACGGGUGAGUAACACGUAUCCAACCUGCCGAUAACUCCGGAAUAGCCUUUCGAAAGAAAGAUUAAUACCGGAUAGCAUACGAAUAUCGCAUGAUAUUUUUAUUAAAGAAUUUCGGUUAUCGAUGGGGAUGCGUUCCAUUAGUUUGUUGGCGGGGUAACAGCCCACCAAGACUACGAUGGAUAGGGGUUCUGAGAGGAAGGUCCCCCACAUUGGAACUGAGACACGGUCCAAACUCCUACGGGAGGCAGCAGUGAGGAAUAUUGGUCAAUGGGCGAGAGCCUGAACCAGCCAAGUAGCGUGAAGGAUGAAGGCUCUAUGGGUCGUAAACUUCUUUUAUAUGGGAAUAAAGUUUUCCACGUGUGGAAUUUUGUAUGUACCAUAUGAAUAAGGAUCGGCUAACUCCGUGCCAGCAGCCGCGGUAAUACGGAGGAUCCGAGCGUUAUCCGGAUUUAUUGGGUUUAAAGGGAGCGUAGGUGGAUUGUUAAGUCAGUUGUGAAAGUUUGCGGCUCAACCGUAAAAUUGCAGUUGAAACUGGGAGUCUUGAGUACAGUAGAGGUGGGCGGAAUUCGUGGUGUAGCGGUGAAAUGCUUAGAUAUCACGAAGAACUCCGAUUGCGAAGGCAGCUCACUAGACUGUCACUGACACUGAUGCUCGAAAGUGUGGGUAUCAAACAGGAUUAGAUACCCUGGUAGUCCACACAGUAAACGAUGAAUACUCGCUGUUUGCGAUAUACAGUAAGCGGCCAAGCGAAAGCAUUAAGUAUUCCACCUGGGGAGUACGCCGGCAACGGUGAAACUCAAAGGAAUUGACGGGGGCCCGCACAAGCGGAGGAACAUGUGGUUUAAUUCGAUGAUACGCGAGGAACCUUACCCGGGCUUAAAUUGCAACAGAAUAUAUUGGAAACAGUAUAGCCGUAAGGCUGUUGUGAAGGUGCUGCAUGGUUGUCGUCAGCUCGUGCCGUGAGGUGUCGGCUUAAGUGCCAUAACGAGCGCAACCCUUAUCUUUAGUUACUAACAGGUCAUGCUGAGGACUCUAGAGAGACUGCCGUCGUAAGAUGUGAGGAAGGUGGGGAUGACGUCAAAUCAGCACGGCCCUUACGUCCGGGGCUACACACGUGUUACAAUGGGGGGUACAGAAGGCGGCUACCUGGUGACAGGAUGCUAAUCCCAAAAACCUCUCUCAGUUCGGAUCGAAGUCUGCAACCCGACUUCGUGAAGCUGGAUUCGCUAGUAAUCGCGCAUCAGCCAUGGCGCGGUGAAUACGUUCCCGGGCCUUGUACACACCGCCCGUCAAGCCAUGAAAGCCGGGGGUACCUGAAGUACGUAACCGCAAGGAGCGUCCUAGGGUAAAACUGGUAAUUGGGGCU